rnacentral:rRNA from 1 species
UAGAGAGAAGCUUGCUUCUCUUGAGAGCGGCGGACGGGUGAGUAAUGCCUAGGAAUCUGCCUGGUAGUGGGGGAUAACGUUCGGAAACGGACGCUAAUACCGCAUACGUCCUACGGGAGAAAGCAGGGGACCUUCGGGCCUUGCGCUAUCAGAUGAGCCUAGGUCGGAUUAGCUAGUUGGUGAGGUAAUGGCUCACCAAGGCGACGAUCCGUAACUGGUCUGAGAGGAUGAUCAGUCACACUGGAACUGAGACACGGUCCAGACUCCUACGGGAGGCAGCAGUGGGGAAUAUUGGACAAUGGGCGAAAGCCUGAUCCAGCCAUGCCGCGUGUGUGAAGAAGGUCUUCGGAUUGUAAAGCACUUUAAGUUGGGAGGAAGGGCAUUAACCUAAUACGUUAGUGUUUUGACGUUACCGACAGAAUAAGCACCGGCUAACUCUGUGCCAGCAGCCGCGGUAAUACAGAGGGUGCAAGCGUUAAUCGGAAUUACUGGGCGUAAAGCGCGCGUAGGUGGUUUGUUAAGUUGGAUGUGAAAUCCCCGGGCUCAACCUGGGAACUGCAUUCAAAACUGACUGACUAGAGUAUGGUAGAGGGUGGUGGAAUUUCCUGUGUAGCGGUGAAAUGCGUA